AUGGGCUCAGCAGGGUUUCCUUGAGCAUCUUUUGGUCUCCAGUGACUCCUCGGGAUCUCAUUGAGCAUUUGUGGACCUUCAGGAUUUCCUUGGGCAUCUCGGGAUCUCCAUUGGGUCCCUGGGGUCCCUUUGAGCCUCUUGGGGUUUUCUUGGGCUCUUUGAAGCCUCCUUGAGCCUCUCGGGGUCUCCAUGGGAUCCUCGGGGUCUCUUUGAGCCUUUUGGAGUCUGCACGGCUCAUUCCAGGCAGAAUGAUGAGAUAAAUGAGGCUGGAAAAGGGUUUGGUCCAACCCCAAGAGGUUCUUCAGGGGUUUUGGCGUCCCUUCUCAUUUCAGGUAGGUCCCAGCACUCGAAUUACGGGGUAAGCAAGGCCUGGAGGAGGUUUGGGGUCUGCGGUCCGACCCCAACUCCGGGCAGGUCCGACCACGAGCUUCUUUACGGUUGGUUCCUUCUCGCCGUGGUUAACCCAACGGUGAGAUCGGCAAAGGGAGAACACCACAAAUUCUGCCCAAAUUCCCCCUCCCUUCAGUGCCGUGGUAUCUGCUCCCAAAAUCC
ensembl:lncRNA